rnacentral:lncRNA from 1 species
AUGCGCCCAAGAGACCCGUCUCCGCUAAAGUGUCAGGAGGAGGAGACAGCGAUGUUCUCUAAAGUGGUCCCCUGCGCGUCUGGAGGUUGGCUUGGUGCUGAGUUCGGGGUGGUGAAAACGUUCACUGUCAUGGAAGAGGAGGCCAGCCGGGAGGGCCGGAGCUGUGAGGUCGGUAACAAGUUUCUGCUGCUCAGAAGGAAACAGCGAAAGCCCUGGAGAUUCUGCAGGAAAGCUACGUUCGGUGUUUAUAGGUAUUCAACUCAGCACUUCCUGAAGAAACACUUCGCUGUAUACCAAGAUCACAGCAUGACAAUUCUGGGCAAAGUGGCCUCAGUAGUCCUGGAUAACUCCUGCUGGCAGGCGAUAUCGGAGGCGCAGUGAGGGACCCCGCUUUCUCCACAGCCAUCCAGUCCCAUUCGGCGCCGAGUUGUCUUCCACACCAGUCUCGCUUCUCUCCUUCCGGCUGGGCCCAGUGUUGCACCCAGGUCCGAGUCUUUACCAGCGGACGCUGGGCAUCCCUAGCCCCCGGACACUGGGGAUCUGUGACGCUGUGACACCCGAAAUUUUCAAAGUCCCGAUACGAUGUCACGAGAGAAAAGUUCCACAACGCGAAGCAUUAUUUUGUGCCCAAAAUUAUGGGAAAGAAAACGAUACGACGUUGCCUUCAGGUGACGUGUGAGUGAAUUUUGCGUGUGGACAAGGCUCCCACCCCGAGAGACCCCAGCAUGCACCUGCAGACGCUGCACAAUUUAAAAACCAUCUGAAAUCCCAGGCACUUGUGGUCUCAGGCGUCUCAGGUAGGGGAGGCGGCCCGAACCUCCAGACCUCCCCCUACCUGUGGACGGGUGGGUGCACCGCACUUCCGCUUGCUGGUCGCUCUGUAGUUUGGGAAUCUGGGGGACGGCGGAGGAGUCGUGGAGGCGAGAGGGGCAGGGAUGUGUGGAGCGCCGUUAGCAGCCUUUACAAGCCGGGGUCACGGCCGGGUUCGCGGCCGGGAUCUCAAGUUGGCCUCUCACGGUUGCAGCUGCCAAAGCAAUAUUGAAGCCGGUGGCUUAUGAAAGGGCCUGGCAGGCGGCUCCGGGAAUCUUUUUGCACCUCUUAAUUUUGCAGAGAAAAGGGGGUACCUCAUCGGGACAGGACUUUUGGGAGCGCCAGGGCCAGAGAUGGACACAUUUCCCAGGGC